rnacentral:rRNA from 1 species
GACGUAGGGAGCGAGCGUUGUCCGGAUUCAUUGGGCGUAAAGAGCGCGCAGGCGGUUUGGUAAGUCGGAUGUGAAAACCCGGGGCUCAACCCCGGGCGUGCAUCUCGAUACUGCCCGACUAGAGGUAGGUAGGGGAGAUCGGAAUUCCUGGUGUAGCGGUGAAAUGCGCAGAUAUCAGGAGGAACACCGGUGGCGAAGGCGGUUCUCUGGGAAUGUUCUGACGCUGAGGAGCGAAAGUGUGGGGAGCGAACAGG